rnacentral:rRNA from 1 species
UACGUAGGGGGCAAGCGUUAUCCGGAUUUACUGGGUGUAAAGGGAGCGUAGACGGAAUAGCAAGUCUGAUGUGAAAACCCGGGGCUCAACUCCGGGAGUGCAUUGGAAACUGUUGAUCUAGAGUGUCGGAGAGGCAAGCGGAAUUCCUAGUGUAGCGGUGAAAUGCGUAGAUAUUAGGAGGAACACCAGUGGCGAAGGCGGCUUGCUGGACGAUGACUGACGUUGAGGCUCGAAAGCGUGGGGAGCAAACAGG